rnacentral:rRNA from 1 species
AGUCGAGCGAGAAGCGUUGGUUCCGUAAGGUUCCGACGCGGAAAGCGGCGAACGGGUGCGUAACACGUGAGAAACCUGCCCCCCAGACCGGGAUAGCCCAGGGAAACUUGGAUUAAUACCGGAUACUCUCUUUGGAUCGCAUGAUCCGUUGAGGAAAUGGUCCGCUGCUGGGGGAUGGUCUCGCGGCCUAUCAGGUAGUUGGUGAGGUAACGGCUCACCAAGCCGAAGACGGGUAGCUGGUCUGAGAGGACGAUCAGCCACACUGGAACUGAGACACGGUCCAGACUCCUACGGGAGGCAGCAGCAGGGAAUAUUGCACAAUGGGCGAAAGCCUGAUGCAGCGACACCGCGUGCGGGAUGAAGGCCUUCGGGUUGUAAACCGCUUUCAGGAGGGAAGAAAAUGACGGUACCUCCAGAAGAAGGCCCGGCCAACUACGUGCCAGCAGCCGCGGUAAUACGUAGGGGCCAAACGUUGUCCGGAAUUAUUGGGCGUAAAGGGCUCGUAGGCGGUUCAGCAAGUCGGUCGUGAAAGCCCGGGGCUCAACUCCGGGAUGCCGGUCGAAACUGUUGUGACUUGAGUUCGGUAGAGGUGAGUGGAAUUCUCAGUGUAGCGGUGGAAUGCGCAGAUAUUGAGAGGAACACCAUUAGCGAAGGCGGCUCACUGGGCCGAUACUGACGCUGAGGAGCGAAAGCGUGGGGAGCAAACAGGAUUAGAUACCCUGGUAGUCCACGCCGUAAACGAUGAACACUAGGUGUAGCGGAUUUAUUCAUGUCUGCUGUGCCGUAGCUAACGCAUUAAGUGUUCCGCCUGGGGAGUACGGCCGCAAGGCUAAAACUCAAAGGAAUUGACGGGGCCCCGCACAAGCGGCGGAGCAUGCGGCUUAAUUCGAUGCAACCCGAAGAACCUUACCUGGGUUUGACAUCAUGGGUCUAGCUGUGGAAACACAGUGUGCUUACGCGCCCAUGACAGGUGGUGCAUGGCUGUCGUC